rnacentral:lncRNA from 1 species
GCAAGUUUGUUUCUUCGAUUCCUGAUCAAAAAGUUCUUUAGCGUCUUAGCACCAGGAACAAACUCAACGAUAACACAACCAGCUCUUGAAGGAGGAGAAUUAUGGCUAUCGUUUGAUGUGUUUUUAACAGGGAUUUUCAGGUUGGAAGUUCCCAUUGAAGCUCCGACAAACUGUCACAAAUAUAAUGGUUACAGUUUAAAUAGAUAAAUCUCAACCAUAGGAGAAGAUAACAGCAAAUGAACAUCACGUAAACCUGAAAAUUGACAUUUAAACAGUAUCAAAAUUUCAUCUGAAGCUAUCGUGACUUUAUAGGACGCAAACUGAGAUGAAGAACCAAUAUAUACUAAAUUUACCUUUGGAAUAUUUGGGUGGUCAAGCUUAUGCCAAACAGCAACCUCUUGCUGAAAUGAUGCCCGAAGAGCAGCAGUUUCAGCUGCUGUGGCAAUACCAUCCUCCCCCCAAUCCAAUAUCUUCACUAUAAUAUCAAGAAUACACAGGCCAUGAGAAGAAUAUUGACAAAAAAUAAAAAAAAAAUACAGGGUUACCUAUGGUUGGGAGUUCAUUAUUCAAUCAAAUAACACCGCUUUCUUACAUUCAAUCAAAAAAAUUUAUGUAGUUGUAAAUUUGUAUCUAUACUUGGGCAAACAAUCACAUGUAUUCUUUUGUGCAAUGAAGUAAACCCCUAAGUCUAAUAACAAUGAAAGUUUGAAAUCUGAGUUCAGCAUGCUAAAACCAUUCCCAAUAGAUUCAUUAACCAUCUAAUACACGGUCACUACAGCAAAUUCUGUAAUACAACAAUCCCAAACGAGCCUUUGAUACUAUACUAAACAAUUAUAGACGAUGGCUUACCGUCUAGGCGUCCACCAACUCAACAAACUGUAAAAUUUCUCCAUUCCAUUUCAUUUCUGGUGAAACUCAUUGACCACUAAACUAUGUUUUAAAGUCUCAAACAUGGAAAACUUAGGCAUGCAAACAAAUCCUGCACAUCACCCAAAAUUUAACAACGAAAAAGAAUUGAAAACGAAUUGAAGCCUUCAGAGAAAUCAAAGUACCUGCAACAUCUUGGCCGUCAUAUGCGCCGCGAUACACAGUGCCAUUAGUUCCAACAGCAAGAACAUGUCUUAAAUCCAACUUUGCCAAAUCAAUCUCCCACUCUUCCAUCUUUGCGUUCACCUCCCUCUCCCUCUCCCAACCCCUACUCAAGUGCUACUCCAACUGGAUGUCCCGCCAAAUCUCAAAUUGUCACUCCUACGCAAAAUAAAAAAUUUCUUAAACCCCCAAAAACUUAAUUGAAACUUUGACAACGGAACUGAAAAAAUAUAAACGGCCCCCCAGGAACUUGGAGCUGAAGAAUCACACCAAAUCGACAAAAAAAAAAAAAAAAAAACCUGAUAGGAAGAAGGGAAGAAAAAAAAUAUAGAAAAAAUAGAGUUUUGGGCAUUAAACUAGAGUGAGAGAGCCAUUAGAAAGAGUGAAUAGAAUCGUGAAAAGAAAAAAUCAAACAAAGAAAAUAAUACACGGGAAAAUUUAGGCGCGGGUUAGAGCAGUAAAUUUAUAGGUCAGCUGCAAGUUAAUCAUUAAUUCGUUCUCCCUAAAUUCAACCAAAAUGAAAACAAAAACAAUAUUUGGAACAGAGGUCAAGAACUCAAGGUCCCCAAUUCUUGAAUACCUUAAAACUGAAGAUUUGGAACACAGACGGUGGUCAGGAGUGCUCGGGUUGAGAAAAUACGACGGUGGUGGUCGGACGGGCGAACGGAGCUCUCCGCUGCGAAAAUACGAAGUUGGUGGUGGUCAGGAGUGCUCGGGUUGAGAAAAUACGCAGUUGGUGGGAGUUGGUGGGAAUCUGUGACUUUUGAUUGUAUCAUUCUUUCUGCAUAUUAAAAAGAGUAAAUUGUAGUCCCUUAACUUUAAUCAAAUUGGAGAUCCCUCAACUAAAAAUUCAAUACCAGUCCCUCAAUUUAUCAAAAUGUGUAGCUAUAGUCCUUUUCAUCAAUUUCGUCAAAAUUUUGUCAAAAUAAGUUAAGUUGGAAUAACCAUUUAUAUAAUUAGGGACUCAUCAAAGUGUAUAAUUAUAAUCUUUUUCGUCAACUACGUCAAAAUUUUUGUCAAAACGAGUUAUGUUAGAAUGACCACUGCUACAAUUGGGUUAAAGUUAAGGGACAAUUUCUCUAGUUGAAUUAAAGUUGAGGGACCAAUGGUAAUGAAUUUUUAGUUGAGGGACCAUAGAUGCAUGUUUUGAUGAGUUGAGGAACCAAUAGUAAUGAAUUUGACCAAUAGUAAUGAAUUUUUAGUUGAGGGACCAUAGCUGCAUAUUUUGAUGAGUUGAGGACCAACAGUAAUGAAUUUUUAGUUGAGGGACCAUUGCUCCAAUUGAGUUAAAGUUAAGGAACCGUAGCUGCAAUUUACUCUAUUAAGAAAAUAUUAAAACUGUUUGGGAGCGGAAAAGAAUCCAUUGCUUUCUACAAAGCCACAAGGGAAGAAGGUAAUUAUCUAUUCUAAAAUUGAGGAGGGAUUUGACCGUAGCAUAGCUACAGUUAAACUUUCGCCACUCGAUUUCACUCUAUUUACAACAAAACCAUCAGAUUUCACGCUAUUUACAACCCAGAAGCAUCAAGCUAUAAAACAAUCUAAAUCCCAACAAGUGAUGGGUCAAAACUGAAUCAAGAGUACAAGAGUCACAGUUAUCUACCUCAAAAAUGCCAAUCCUUUUUCCAUGAAAGCACAAAACUUUCAACAGAAAAAAAUGCCAUGGAUCAACGAGCCAUGGGAGCUAAAGAAAAAACUCAACUGAAUGUAUGUAAGUGUGUAUCUAUCAAUUAUCUAUAAAUACAGACAAAACCCAUAAUCUAUAGCAAAAGAUAAGAAGCAAAGUAAAAGAGAUUCAUACAGAUCUCAAUCAGGGACCCAACACUUUGGAUCCAAAAGACCCAGAUGCUAAAAAAACAAGAUAGAGUGCAAUAGAGAAGCAAAAAUCACCAAACAUAUCAGGACCAGUUAAAAGUGAACAGAAAAGGAAACCCAAAAAAGAUAGAUACCUGGGCUUGGGAGAGAGAGAGAGAGAGAGAGCCUUCCACCAAAAAUCAGAACUUUGAAAGGGUUUCUUGCUUUGGUUUUGCUUUUAACAGAGUGGAAAGGAAAGUAAGGGGGAAAAGAGCACUCACAACUGUUGAGGGAGAUAAAGAGAGAGAGAGAGAGAGAGACAUGCCAGGCCCAGAUCCAGUGCGGCAGGGCGACCGUCCAAGGUCUAAAAAAAUUAGAUGUAUCAAAAUUAUUAAGAUGAUAUAUUUGCAUAUAUUUUUAUAAGAGUAUAAAUUUAUAAAAUUUGAUUUAGUGACAAAGAAAUUUAACUAGAAUUGAUUAUUUUGUUGUUUAAAAUUAAUGAUGAGGUCUUAGGUUCAAAACAUCAUGCGUAUUUAUUUACAUUCUAAUUUUUACAAAUUUCUUUUCAUAACAGUAUAAAUUUAUACAAAUUGGCUAAAUGAUCAAGAAGUUUAAUAAGAAGCAAUGGUUUUUAUUGUUUAAAAUUAACGAGAGGUCAUAAGUUCGAAAUGCUAUGUGCAUGUUUAUUGUUUUCAAUUUUUACAAGUUUUUGUUUGGUUGUUAAUUUAUUUAUUUACUAGCUAGUAGCUAUGUGGGUUGCUAUUUUUAAAUAUAUGUUCCAAUUCAAGUCUAAUCUUCAACAAAGAGUAAUGAGUAGACUAAAUUUUUAGACCAAAUUUGUAAAUAAUAUUACGUGUCAUCAAAAAAUUUAAUUUAAUAUUCAUUCAUUACUUAUACAUAUCCUUAAAGACUCGAAAACAUUAUUAUUAUUUUAGUCUUAUAUUGACGAGGUUAGUAAAUAAGAAAAAAUAGCUCACGAUUUAUACAAAAACACUUUAAAAGUUCGGAUGGAAAACAAACUCAUAAUCUAUUUACUUGUAAGGCUGAAGUUUUUUGGUUUCCUUCUUUCAAUACAAGAUAAAUUAGUUAUUCUGUGUUUCUAAAUUAUUGAGUUUAAAGUGUUUUUCUAAAUAUAAUUUUAUCGAUGUCUUACGUGUGAAAACAAAUAAUUUUUUAUAUGAAGUGAUGGCACAUUUUUUGACGUCACCUCAGCCCUCAAAAAUCUUUAGACCGGCCCUGGAGAGAGAGCAAUGUGCGAGGGAGGUGGAUUGUUUGCCCUCCCAUUUCCAUACUCUUUCCAUCCCCUCCUGUUUGUAUGGUCAUAGUUAAACCAUGUCAACAUUUUAUAUUAUUUUUUAUAAAAAUAAUAAAAUAAAAAGUAAUAAAAAUAUAAAAUGUUGACAUAGCUUAACUGUAACCACACAAAAUAGAAGAAGAUGAGAAGAGUGAAAUGGAAUGACAGACAAUUCACCUCUAUGUGCAAGAGCUCCUUUUUUCCUGAAACGUGUGCGGAGAGAGAGAGAGAGAGAGAGAGAGAGAGAGAACGUACAGUAGUGAGUCAGAUUAGAAAAACAGAGAGAGAGAGAGAGAAUAAGGUCUGGGGGGCCUACUACCAUGACCAUCCAUGUAUUGAGGCUUUGAGUCUUUGACAGAGAGUGAAAACGGGUCAAAGCCAUACCGCUAAAGUUAGCCUUUUUUUAUUUUAUUGUUUGUUAUUAAGUUGUUUUCCUCUGUCUUUUAUUAUUAGGGUUUUAUUUUUUAUUUAUAAAUAAAAUGUUUUAAGUUUGAUGUUUUUAUUUUUUAUAAUGAGGUGAGUUCGAUUCCAAAUUGUUAUGGUAUGUGAAUUAUUUGGUUCAAUUCAGUUUCCUCACCACAUAAUAUAAAAUAUAAGGUCGUUUAGAAGUGUUUUUAAAAUAACUAAAAAUAUUUUUAAUUUUUGAAACAAAUACUUAAUAAAAAUUCAAGUAAAUCAUGUAAAAGCCUUUUAGUGCUUCUUCAUUUUAAGAAGCAUAUGUGUUGCUUCUUCCACAAAGCUUUUGAAAUUCAAAAUAAAUUUUAUCUAAGAUGCUUUCAAUCAUUCUAGAAACACUUUCAAACGAAUCAUAAAUCAAAAUCAAUUCCCUCUUCCUGCAAAUUAUUAAGUUUUUUUCUUUUUUUAUUGGAAUUCAAUUAUUUCGAUGUAAUUUGUCACAAAUACAAGUGUCUGAAUCAAUUUAUGGGCCUCACCUAGGCUCCACCCUGUCCCCCAUGCUUUGGUAGUUUUGAGCUUUUCUAAUUAUUUAAGGGGUUUGGGGACUUUGGGAAAUGACCAAUUGACCAGGCAUGUCCUGUCCUUUAUGCCACUUAAAAUAAGAUGUUAUUGUAAAUUCGAGCAUUAAUUAAUAUUAGGGGCAAAUGGUCCGUGAGAGUACUACUUGACGAGAUCAUGAUCCAAUUGCAUGGUUAGGGAUUUGAUUUUUAUUUUUUUUUAAAGAGAUUAGUUGGUGGCUUUGUCAUAACAGAUUAUUUUUUUAAAACUGAGAAAAUUUACAGAAGCAUUUCAGCCUCUCCAUGCCAAGUGGAAAUGACACCGUAUCCGGAUCAUUGUCGUAGAUCCACAACUUUCUAAGAGAGGUGAGUUUGUGCAAUCCCCACUCCAACUCCCAGAAUGACUUACAACUUUUGACCUUCCAAAUUGUAAGUGAUGUGAGGUUGGGGGGGGGGGAAAGGAGCAACUCAAACCUUUACGGUAGUCAAUCAUCAAUCCCUCAAGAGAGUUGAGAUUGUGCAUGUAUUCGGGCAACGCCUUCAAUUUGUCACAAUCGGUGAUCUCGACCUCUCUUAGGUUGGAGGCUCUUCUACCCCCACUCAGUCUUGGGAUGGAAACAAGAUUUCCACAGUGAUAAAUAUCCAACGUUUGAAAAUUGAUGAGGUGGCAUACGCCAUCCGAUAAGGAUUUCAGAUUUUGGCACUGCCACAUCCUAAUAUAUUCAAGACAGUGAUUAGUAUUGUCGCGGAAGAACUCGUCUAGUGUUAUUAACUCCAGCUGUGUACCCUUAGGUUGAGCCCUAGAUUGCCUAUGUACCAUUUUUGGAGAAAUUAAGUCACUCGUAGUCCUUAGAUGUUUUGAUUUGAGAUUUUUAGUGAGUGAACACCCAUUGAAGAAAAAAAAAAAUAUUUGGUAUUUGGUUUAUUUGAACAAUUUGAACAAUUUGGAUGUGUUGGAGUGAAUUUGGUUUAUAUACACCAUGGAUUUGAUUUGGUACUUUGGUUUUGUGAUUGUAUCUAUAGUAUGGUACUAGACUACCUAUGUACCAUUGGCCAGAUCAAACCGGUGUAGUUAAUGGAUGAAUUGGUUUGGGAUUUUCAAUGAGUGAAUGCCCCACUGCAAAAGUAAGAUUUGGUAUUUGGUUUAUUUGAAUACUCUAGAUUUAUUUGAGUGAACUUGGUUGAAUGAACCAGGGAUUCGAUUUUGACUUUGUAGGGAAAUUGCAUCUAAAUUGAGUCUCUAGAUUCCCUACGUAUUCUUAGCAGGAUCAAACUGACGUGGUUCGAAAAUGAAUUUGGAAUUUAAUUUGUGUGGCUUCGUACCAUUUGAGAAUUUUGAACUUUGGAAUUUGAUGGGUAUUUUGUAUCAGCUAUUUGCUAACUGAAAAUUUUGAAAUUUGGAAUUUGAUAGGUAUUUUGUGUCAGCUAUUUGCCAUCUGACAUAUGCAUUGUAAUGCACCAUUUUAUAUGACUUUGCAUGAGUUUCCCACCAGUUAUCAGCUAAUUGGCAUUUAGCUAACCUUAAAUUUGAGUUUCGACGACAAGGCCAACUAAUUUGGCUUGGAUUUGUUAAUGGGGAUUCGGGUUUGAAUAUGAAUCUCAUUAACCACUUGGUAGCUUUUCUAUGAUUUGGAUUGCUCUACUUCUUUGAUUGACAUGGCUUUAUAUUCGGAAGAAAACCCCCUGCUUCUCUUGGUCUGUGCUGCUGAACUUUUCUUCCUUUUCGGUUUUUGUCACGGGGCUCUAUGGUCGCACUAGUGAUCCUCGCGCCAUAGUCUUCGCUUUCCUCUUUGAAUUUCACUGGAGUUACUUCUAAGAGAGUUGCUGCUAUGGCGGGAGCGGGCGACACGACGUCUCUGAAAGCAAGUCUGAAGUCAUGUUUACCUUUGAAGUCCCGCUAGCACUUCUCUUCUUCGUUUACUUUUGAGAAAAUGAAGACUUGUUUUGCUUGUCUUCUUUUGAAUUUUAAAUUCCUUUUGUGACAAUGGAGGCGAUGGGGUUGCCCAUAUUUCUUCAUUUUCUUCUUUUCAGUAUCAGUAUUAAAUUCUUUCUUCCCUUUGUUUAAGCUUUACCCAAUAUCUGAUCAAAACGAUAACCAUGUAAAUGGCAUUCAAGUUAUCUGGAGGACCUUUCAUCUUUUUCUGGAGUAUUAUUCUUUGAAGAAUGAAGCAGCAGCAGCGUGCCAAAUUCUUGGAGACAUGUUCUUCUAUUUUUUAUUCAACUUUUGCCAACAAGCUUCUGGGUAAUUUCUCUAGGUUAAGGAAGAGAACGUGGGAUCAUCUCGAAUGUCUCCUUCUUGCUGCUUUCCUUUUAUUGUUAUUGUUUGCUGGCGAUGAUAACAGUAGAACUUCAUCAAGGUACUGCUUACCCUUGGACGCUAUGUUGAGAAUUAAUCUCACAUCAACUGGAGGAGAGGCAUUGCAUGAGCUUAUAAGUCAGUUGGUUUACUCCCAUAUUGCUAAUUAGUUUUAUAGUGGAAUCUCACUUUUUUUUUUCAUGGUAUACAAUGAGAUCGGGUAACUUCAAUCCACCUCAACAAAUUGCCAAUUUUCCCAGUCCUCUGCCUCACAGGCCAAGGAAUCAUAUUCAAAUUCAACAAAACUCUCCUGCUCACUCAACUCGACACGAGAUCCCACGGGCUCCUAAUCAACAGUUCAGCAACAAUCUCGCAUUUGCCUCUGGAAGGAGGACAACUUUAUGAUCCAUUCUUGCCCAAUUCCGCGAGUCAUUAGCAGGGAGGUAAUCCGGGAAACAUGUAGAAGCAAGAGAAUGAUCUAUUUAUUACUAUUGUUAUUUCUUAUACAAGCAACAAUGCAGAAGGAUUAAAAACACUCUUUUACCCACUUGAGCAAUAAGCCCCUUGCCUUUCCAUUUCCUUGUUAAUUGCCUAAUUCUCGACACAUUAAAUUAAAUGAACUACUCACUCACAAGUCACAAAUUGCUAAAAUAAAAUAAACGGGGAUAGGAAAACGGUGAUCCCAUAAACAUCCAUCAUAGGGAGGAAUUACAAAAGUUGAAUCAAACCCUCUGCCAUCCACAAAAGGACGAGUUGCUUCUCCCUAAAUUCAUAGUUGUUUGGAAGUAUUGACCAAUACGCAAAACACCUCUUCAAAUUUGAUGGAAGAUAGUGAUAGCUAAACUUUAGUAUGGGGAGAAUGCCACUCUUAUCUGCUAUAUUCCACAAUUUGUUAUUCAAUAUUUCUUCCCACUCAUCUUUUUCUUUGCAACGUAAAAGGCCACUGAGAGUCCUUGCAGCUAAUUGUAAUCCACGACAUUUUUCGACAAUUUUUCUUCGAAUUAACUCAUAAUUUACUGGUUUUCCAUCGUUAAGUUCCCCGAAUGCAUGUCGCUCAAAUAUUUCCAAACAAUCAUCAUCUCCCAUGCACUCCAAAUUAUGGACUCCAGCGGCUCCCAUAAUCUUUGCAACAUUCACAUCACGGGUUGUCACAAGUAUCUUACUUCCUCCAGCUCCAACGCCAAAAGGGGAUUGAAGUCUUGUCCAGAGAUCGUAUAGAUCAUGGUCACCUUUGUUCCAAAUAUCAUCUAAAACGAUUAAAAACUUUUUUCCUCUUAACUGCUCACUCAAAUCAUGCUGCAUUUUACUAAACUCCUCGACUUCAACAGGUCGGGAUGUGAUUGAUUCAAGAAUUGCUUUAGUCACUCGCACAAGAUCGAAGUCAUCAGACACAGAUACCCACACCUUAGGCUCAAACUCCUUCAUGGCAUCAUCUUUGUGGUUGAAUACAAGUUGAGCAAGUGUCGUCUUCCCGACUCCGUGCAUCCCAACUAUAGCUACUACACCAAAAUUGACAGUACCUGCAUGCUCGCAUUCUCUUGACAACAAUUCGAUAAUCUCCCUUUUGUCAUCAUCUCUUCCAACAACAAGCUUUUCAUCUAACACGCCUGCACUUUGUAAACUUCGUGAUUCCUUAUCAGACGUCCCAGUAUCUUUCAAGCCAAACUUUUCUUUCCGUACAGAUAUGUCUUGCAACCACUCUCUAAUCUUCUUCAUUUCGGAGUUCAUAUCAAACCUCAAUUUAACUUUAUAAAAUGAUCUCCAUAUCUUGUUGCUUGUGUUGGCUUGUUCACGUCCCUCUAUCAUGCGCUUCAACAUUUGUGUGGCAAAUUUGUCCAACAUGUCUUUGAUAUCAUAAGCCAAAUCUCUGAGAUCAUCGGGCCACAGUUUGACAGCACCCUCAGUCAGUUGCCUUUCCUCGGCAUCACUGACCACCACUCCGAUUGUAGAUAACGUGGUCCUCCACUUCUCCAGCUUCUUUCUGACGCCCCGGAAGUUUCCAAAGUAGUUGAGAAUCUCGCGAGCGGUCAACCUGUCGAGCAGCAACGGUAGAAAUGCCGCAAGAAAAAUCUCUCCCAGUGCCAUAUUAAGCGUGAACUGACCUCCAAGCAAUCAAAGAAACAGCGAACCGUUCUUGAGCAAUAUUGAGGUGCAGAACUCAACGAAAGGAAGAGUAACAGUCAAAGCCUAGUUCCUUGCAAAUUUGGAAACUUGAUCUCUUGAGACUCAUAAAUAUUCACAACUGCAUAAAUUAAAAUGAUACGAACUAAUUAUUGAUGCCUGCGCAAUCAUAUACAAAUUUAUAGUAAAGGUGAAAUAAUCAAUGGACUCCUAGUAAGCAUAUCUAGAGGUGCCAAUUUGAGACUUGGGAUGGCAACAUGGCGGAUUCAGAUCAAGGUUGCCUACAUCAUAAGUUUGAUAACCGUCCCGCCACUAUGUAUACCGUCCCUGUUUCGUUUUAUGGAAAUAUUAUUUUCCUUGUUAUAUACAAAAUAAUCUAACAACCUGAUGUUGUAUGUCUAAAGCACAAUAAAACACACCAUAUUAAUGGCGCUUUACAGCAAUGUCGGAAAGCAACCAUAUUUAUCCACCCCAUUAUGGGUUUGAUCUCCACCGAUCCCCUCCCCUUAACAACUAACAAUUUCACCGACAACACUAUCAUUUGUAAAAAAAAAAAAUGUCAUAUGAUAUUACUCAGUAACAAAGUACAAAAAACACAACAUAUAAAUUUGAAAGACCAGGAAAAAGAAGAACUCAAUAUUGCAAAAAUCAUAUAAUAGUAUAUAUUAUUUUCAUAACAUGUUGAACGGAAAAAUGGGUCAGUUUUGGGAUUACCCGUAACUGUAGGGAUCCUUGCAAUCCUACGUUUCUUUGCUAUAAAUAGGUAAAAGUUAGAGAGAUAGCCUUUACUAGUGACAGGAGCAAAGCAGGUGUAAAAUAUCACAUUGUAACUAUAACACAAGGGGAUGACAAAUAAAAGAUGGAGAGAUAGAUAAUGAAUGUUAUUUAUCUUUCCUUUUUCUCUGUGUGUUUUGAUAGCAGUCGGAAUGCUCUAUUUAUAGAGCAACUCCGUACAAACAUAUUCUUACAUUUUGAAAUUUACAGCACAUGACUUUGAAAAUACGAUCUCCUUUAUUUCCAAAGUCUACAUCACUUUGUGUGCGUAUUUAAAAUCUAUGGCAUUCAUUCAUUAAUCUGCCAACAUUUUCAACAUUGCCAAUGUUUUCAAUACUGCCAAUGUUUUCAACAUUCUUGAGUAUAUUUGAAUUGUUUUAUAAAAACUAAUAUUUAUACAUUUGUGUGCUAAAUUCUGACUAUAAUAAAAUCUCUCCACCCGCUACCAUUAGAGCAACUCCACCCAUGGAGCCUUCCCCCCUGGCAAUGCACUAUUGAAUCCACCCUUUUGAACAGUAACUGCCUUAAAUGAAUAGUAACUGACAUUAAUGAACAGUAAUUGCCAUUUGCAUCUCCACCCUUGGAGCCCUCCCCCCAGGCAAUAGGCAAUUAAAAUAAUAGUUUUUUUUGUUUGUUUAAAUAAUACAAAAUAAAAUUAUUUGUAAUUUCGGAUAAGAAUUCUUAAAUCGUUCUCGUUGCGCCACGUGUCAUUUUAUAAAAAAAAAACAAUUAUUUAGCGAAGGAUUUCGAUAAGAUUUUUAUCCAAUGUUAUCGUGUCAUGUGUCGUUAUCUUUUCAGAAUCUUUGGUAAAAAUAAAUAAUUUUUUAUACAUUAAAAAUAUUAUAAUAUUAAUCCAAUUAAAAAAAUAAAAAAUAAAAAAACAGAAACCCGAACCCAGAUCCAUUUCUUCCACCUCUCCUCCCACCCCCGAGAACCCCCUGCAAAAACCAGAACCCAGCUACCUCCCCCCCCACCCGCCGCGACGACCCACCCCCCACCCCCGCCCCCGCGACGACCCACCCUCCCCCCCCCCCCGCGACGACCCACCCUCCCCCUCCUCUCUCUCUCUCUCUCUCUGACACAAAAAAAAAUAAAAAAUUGCAAAGCCCUCGGGCCACAGGCCCGUCGACUCCCCACCCCCCCUUCGCUCGGGCUCCCACCGUCGCUCGGGCUCCACACGGCUGGAGCUCAGUCCACAGCGCCUCGGGUCCUUUCCUCUCCACUGUCCCCCGAGCAACCAGCAAGGCUGGAGUUGCUCUUAGAGAGCGGGAGGGGUGACGCCUACCCACCAAACCCAAAAGUAGGGGGCGGUGUCCUUUGGGAUUUCUAGAGGAACAUUAGGUAGGUAUGCUUUGCACCACAAACAUGUGCAAACCAAUUUGAUUUUGGGUUUCUAGUAAUAUCCUUUCUUUUCUUAAUUUUAAACAAGAAAGAAUUGCCUCCGCUUUCUCUUUGCACGGUGUCUAAUCUUCCUUAAUGGACUGAUUUUACAGUGUUAAUGCCAAUAUUUACACGAUAAAACAUACUUGUUAACGACCAUUAUGAUCGACAUCUUAUUUAUAUCAUAUCAACAUUCUGUUAUUUAAUAAAGAAGAAAUGUCUUGUUUAGAGAAAAACUACCUCAUCAAGAUAUUACCAAACCAUGACAGUAAAAAUAACAUAAUAAAACUACAAGACAUUUUUCUUUAGGGUUGCAACAAAUCAAUAAAGCACAAUUGCAGUAAAAACUUGAUUUCCAAACUAAUUUACAAUAAGAAUGAAGGAGCCACAAGCAAUAUGGGUUUUCAAAAAUGCUGUUGGUGCAUUAUUCAGAGAUGUGAUCUGAUAAUUCAAAGACUGCCCGCUGUCUGCAGUCUAACACUGAAAUGGUAACUGGUCUUAAUAUGCACUGCACACUCUAUAAAAGUAUAUUACACGAAACAAAGAAGGUCAUGGACCGCGAGGUGUGCUGAAACAGAAACAGCCGGUAGACUGGUCUUCAGGUAUCAUGCCGCCUCCCUUGCUAUUAUCUAUUGCAUACAACAUUUUCACUACCUCUUCCAUUUCAGGGCGAUUAUCCGGGUUUGCAUCCCAACAUUUUCGCAUGACGCUAGCCAAUGUGCUUGGACAACAUCUUGGGAUUUCUGGUCGUAAAUUCUGCCAUCCAAGCAUAAAAUAUUAGGACUAACAAUUUUUUAUCAACAUUACUUAAAAGCCAAAGACAGACAAGUUUUGCUACAUCAGUUCCACUACUUCAAAACAAAUGUGCAGUAAAAUCUCAUAAGGAAAUUAAAGCAGUAUAUGUGCAACAACAAACCAACCUGUCGCACUACUGCAGAUGAGACAUCAGCAGAACUUAGAUUAGGAUAAGGCAUGUCGCAGCAAUAGAUUUCCCACAAGCAAAAACCAAAACUAUAGACAUCGCAUUUCCUGUUGUACGGCUUGCCAUCAAGGAACUACAAAAACCUUGAUGUUAGAAUUCUAAUCCAAUUUGCAGCAAGGGGAAUCUAUAAAAGGUCGUACCCAGUGCACAAGGCUCCUGCUUUACGCAGGGUCUGGGAGAGGUGAAUGUCGGCUAGCCUUACUCCCAUUUAUGGGAAUCUAUAAAUAAAAGAAUGUCACUCGCUUCAAAUUUGUUUAGAACUAGAUUUGGCAAUAAUUUACAAAAAGUAGGUACCUCUGGGGCCAUGUACCCAGUCAUGUCCCUUGGUUUAUGUGCUUCUAUUAUAGUAACGCCAAAAUCAACAAUUUUCAAUGUUCCAUGAUUAUCAACCAACAUAUUUUCCGGUAUGACAUCAUGGUGUAAAAUUUUCUUCGAGUGAAGAUAGCUCAAACUGAGAGAAUGAAACACCAAGAACAAUCCUUUAGUUUGAAACCCAACAAAAAAAACUGAACUAAAUCAAAGCACCAAAAAUGAACCCAACUCACCCUUUGGAGAGAUCCAAGGCAAGUUGAAUCACAACCUUAAAGGCAAGUUUGUUUCUUCGAUUCCUGAUCAAAAAGUUCUUUAGCGUCGUACCACCAGGAACAAACUCAACGAUAACACAACAAGCUCUUGAAGGAGGAGAAUUAUGGCUAUCGUUUGAUGUGUUUUUAACAGGGAUUUUUAGGUUGGAAGUUCCCAUUGAAGCUCCGACAAACUGUCACAAAUAUAAUGGCCACAGUUUAAA